rnacentral:rRNA from 1 species
AUGUUCAAGAUGAGUGAUUUGGGUUUACUAUCAUAUUAUCUGGGCAUUGAGAUGGCUCAAACAGUGAAUGGAAUUCCGCAAGGUCAAACAGGGUAUGCUCUGAAUUUUUUGGAGAAGACAGGCAUGACCGACUGCAAUUCAUGUCAAAUACCAAUGGAGCCAUGUGUGAAACUCUUCAAGUCAGAUGAAGGUGAAAAGGUAGAUGCUACUUAGUACCGCAUUAAUGUUGGUAGUUUGAGAUACUUGGUGAAAACUAGACCAGAUCUUGCAUUCUCUGGUGGCAUUGUGAGUAGGUUCAUGGAGUGCCCUAUAAUGCAUCACUUGGAAGCAGUAAAGCAAGUUCUGAGGUAUGUCAAGGGUUCUGUAAAUCUAGGCUGCCAUUAUGGAAGGAAGGAGAAUGCAACUACCAAACUAAUAGGCUACAGUGACAGUGAUUUGGCUGGGGAUAUCAAUGAUAGAAAGAGCACAACCGGAGUAGUGUUCUUCAUAUGUUCCAAUAUAGUGAGUUGGAUCUCUCACAAGCAAAAGGUAGUAGCAGGGUCUUCAUGUGAAGUAGAAUACAUUGCUUCUGCUACUGCAGCUUGUCAAGGCAUUUGGCUUAGCAGAUUGCUAGCUCAGUUGAAAUUUGAAGAACAAGAACAAUUUAUGCUCAGGGUGGAUAAUAAACCAGCAAUAGCACUUAGCAGAAACCCUAUCCACCAUGAUAGAAGCAAGCAUAUCAAUAUAAAAUAUCAUUUCAUCAGAGAUUGCAUGGAGGAUAAGAAGAUCUGUGUUGAACAUGUCAGGACAAAGGAUUAGCUGGCUGACAUGUUGACAAAGUCGCUGGCUCGCCCAAAGUUCAUGGAGAUGCGAGACAAGAUUGGUCUCCGACCAGUAAGAUCAAGUGUACAAGAUCAAGGGGGAGAAUGUUAG